UAAUACGGAGGGUGCGAGCGUUGUUCGGAAUCACUGGGCGUAAAGCGCGUGUAGGCGGUCCGCUAAGUCUGGUGUGAAAGCCCGGGGCUCACCCCCGGAAGUGCACUGGAAACUGGCGGACUCGAGUCCCGGAGAGGAGAGUGGAAUUCCUGGUGUAGCGGUGAAAUGCGUAGAUAUCAGGAGGAACACCGGUGGCGAAGGCGGCUCUCUGGACGGUGACUGACGCUGAGACGCGAAAGCGUGGGGAGCAAACAGG
rnacentral:rRNA from 1 species